rnacentral:rRNA from 1 species
UGCAGUCGAGCGGGCGUAGCAGUACGUCAGCGGCAGACGGGUGAGUAACGCGUGGGAACAUACCUUUUGGUUCGGAACAACACAGGGAAACUUGUGCUAAUACCGAAUAAGCCCUUACGGGGAAAGAUUUAUCGCCGAAAGAUUGGCCCGCGUCUGAUUAGCUUGUUGGUGAGGUAACGGCUCACCAAGGCGACGAUCAGUAGCUGGUCUGAGAGGAUGAUCAGCCACAUUGGGACUGAGACACGGCCCAAACUCCUACGGGAGGCAGCAGUGGGGAAUAUUGGACAAUGGGCGCAAGCCUGAUCCAGCCAUGCCGCGUGAGUGAUGAAGGCCCUAGGGUUGUAAAGCUCUUUUGUGCGGGAAGAUAAUGACGGUACCGCAAGAAUAAGCCCCGGCUAACUUCGUGCCAGCAGCCGCGGUAAUACGAAGGGGGCUAGUUUUUUCUCGGAAUCACUGGGCGUCCCCCCGUGCGUAGGCGGGUCUUUAAGUCAGAGGUGAAAGCCUGGAGCUCAACUCCAGAACUGCCUUUGAUACUGAGGAUCUCGAGUUCGGGAGAGGUGAGUGGAACUGCGAGUGUAGAGGUGAAAUUCGUAGAUAUUCGCAAGAACACCAGUGGCGAAGGCGGCUCACUGGCCCGAUACUGACGCUGA